AAAGAUAAUUAUCCUGAUAGCCUUCUUUGAUCAUUUCAGUAAGAAAAUAUGCAUCGGCGAGGACUCUUAAAUCAGAAGGAUAAUGGCAAAUUUUACAUUGAUACUGGAGGGGACAAAGUGGGACUUGACGUCAAAUAUGUCAAAGCCUUAAGUCGCGGCAUCUUCACCUCGGCUCCAUUUGAUAAAGGAGAAGAAUAUAGAGGUUAACUAAUAAACCAUAAAGAAUGUCAGAGGAGACAGACUUUUUCUCCUUUACUGCGAAUGAGCUGACAUUCUAGCAAGAAGGAAGCGUGUCGUCCAGUAGAUGAGAGCUACCCUCUCUCUGAAGGAAAAAAUGGUGGGUCCAGAAGAGGGACAAAGAGAGCGUGGUCUAAAGUUGAGGUUCAAGCAGUAAUGCGGCACUUCAAAGACCCAUAUUCGUAAAGGUCACCUGGCCACCAAGAACGAAUGCAGUCACUGCAAGUUGGUGGAAGGACCCGUCUUGGAACAAAGAACUGUGCAAAAUGUCAGAGAGUUCGUCCGUAAUCGGAACAGCUGAAAAAAGACUGUAAACAAACAUACACUUAUUUUAUUUGUUCUACAUCCUUUUAUCCCACGGCACGGGCAGUCUUCUAAUCUGUUGACAUACAAAGGUAUACAAGCACAUGUCAUUCACCUCAUCAUAAUGUAAUAAUACUCUAAUACUGUCAAGAGACGUCAUAAAUUCUUAAUGGCUGAAAUCUUCAAGUUUGUACACGUUUUCCCCUUCAUUGUCUUGAGGUAAGUUUCCAUAGUGCGGUGAAAGAAAUGUUCAUUAUGUAUGUCUUGCCCAUCGCUCUGUCGUUCUUUUCGGUUGUUUGUUAAACAGGACUUGUUUUACAAAAGCACUAGUCUGGCUCCUCAGUUUGUAUGAUAAACGGACUAUAGUGCUUUUGUAUGAAACAAUUGUUUACAAAAGCACUAUCGUCCGUUUGUAUGAAACAAUUGUUUACAAAAGCGCACUAGUCUGGUUCCUUGUGUCCUGAGUGGGACAGUAGUAAAAAAAUAACCCCAGCUCGUUGUUAAAUGAAAGCCAGAGAUUGAAGCCAGGUUGUAGAGGCACUCGCUGAUUCCCUCUGCAUAGAUGGAUCUUUAGAUAGUAUAGAUCGAUUUCUACACAUACUGUCACUUUGGAGGGGCC
ensembl:lncRNA